UGAGAGGGACUACUAGAUUGAGGAAUGAAACAUCUCAAUCACUGCCAAACAGUGCAGCCUUGCUUGGAGGAGCAUGUCCUGGGCACGGACGGCUCCUGCAUCAGUCUCUGGGGAAGUGCAGGCAAAUUAUGAAAUGAAGAAUGCUAUCAUGUGGAUCUUCAGGGAAGAAGUCAAACAGUAACAUUCUUCAGUUAUGUUUGAAUAUUUAAAUGAAGCUUUCAUGUGCACAAGUUGCAGUACUGGUGUUCUGCUGUCUCAUUUGGGCAUGUACUUCAGGUAACAGCACUCAAUGUUGAAAUGAGAGCUGGGAACGAGAUGGAUUAACUGAUGAACUGCCUGAUUGAUUUGGGUGGGAAGUGCUGAGUACACCCAAGUCUGAUUAACACAUGGAAGCAGGAUUCAUUUGAAGGUGCCUCUGUGUUGCACUACCAUAUUUUACCUGAGACUUUCUGGACAUGCCCUGUGUUGAGCUGUUAUUCUGCCAACUGAGUUCCAUGUAUUAAAUCUUUUGUGAAUAGAAAACUUCAUUGACAUGUGAAAGCCAAAAUUCUAAACUUGCCUUGGGAAAGAAGAGGAGCAGUAUUUGGAAGGAAAAAAAAAGAAAAAAGGGAGACUGAGAUGCAGUGAAAUUAAAAUGAACGUUUCCACAUUGGCAGAAGUCUUUUGAAAGUGAAUAUAUAUGAGAGUCUUGAUUACAGCAGGAGCCUUGGAUAAUAUGUACCUCAACGUUCAUAGCUACUGCCAGUCGUGCUACACUGUUGUAAAACAAGAGGAUUUCCAAAUGUUUCCCUGCAGAAGCUCAGGCAGGACUUCAGGGCAGCCAGGAAGGCCAUGUGAAGCAUAAGGAAGCCUUGCACACUGAGCCCAAGCUCUUCUGCAAGUGGCAAGAAACUUGCAGAUUUUCAGGAAUCAUUUCCAACAAAAGAAGCUAAAUGGUCUGAAACAACAUCUGAAACUAAAUGGAUUGGUAGAGCAAAGUCAGUCUGUCCGCUCUAUCUGGAAAAGAUCAUGCUUAAGGCUGAACUGUCAUUAUUAUUUUGAUGAUCAUCUUCCCUGCAUCUUCAAAGUGUCCUAAGAGGUGCUCUCAGAGUUACAGAGGAAUAUGAUGAUGCAGAUGAUGGCUUUCAGGCUUUGCCUGAAGUCAGUUCUGCACCACUAUCCAUAUAAAGCAUUCUGGCUUCCCUCUAUCAUACAG
ensembl:lncRNA